rnacentral:rRNA from 1 species
GACGAACGCUGGCGGCGUGCUUAACACAUGCAAGUCGAACGAAGUGGCGAACGGGUGAGUAACGCGUAAUCAACCUGCCCUUCAGCGGGGGACAACAGUUGGAAACGACUGCUAAUACCGCAUUCUGUAGGGGGGGCCUGCGUCUGAUUAGCUAGUUGGUGAGGUAACGGCCCACCAAGGCGAUGAUCAGUAGCCGGUCUGGGAGGGUGAACGGCCACAUUGGGACCUGGGACCGGCCCAGACUCCUACGGGAGGGAGCAGUGGGGAAUCUUCCGCAAUGGACGAAAGGCUGACGGAGCAACGCCGGGUGAGUGAUGACGGCCUUCUGGUUGUAAAGCGUUGUGAAUCGGGGCGCGGUACCGGAAUAGAAAGCCACGGCUAACUACGUGCCAGCCGCCGCGGUAAUUC